rnacentral:tRNA from 1 species
GCCGCGGUAGCUCAGUAGUAGAGCGCUUCUCUGAAAAAGAAGAGGUGGUCGGAGCGUUACCGAUCCGCGGCA